AUCCUGCCCCUAAGUGACGGUGACGGGAACGUGGUGCGAUGCCACGGCUGCCCCCGCAACUGUAAGCGACGAGCCGGCGCCACGAUGCCACUGGAGCGAUCCGGGAAGGCGGCGCCCGGCGGUGAAGCGCGAGCCAGGAGACCGGCCGUCACCGAUGUCGACAC
rnacentral:ncRNA from 2 species